UUAAAAUUAACUAAAAUUCUAAAUAAUUUUCACCACUCUCCAUAAAUCCCCCCAAAAAAAUAUUCAAACACACCAAUAAUUAAAUAAAACUAAUAAAUUAUAUAAAUUCACCAAUACAAAAAUAAACAAAUUAAAGCAAAUUAAAAAUUCAAUUAAAUAAUUAAUUGAAAAAUUUCGGGGCGUUACAACUCUCGUCCACUUAAAUAAUUUUUGCUCUCGAUAAUUAGUUGAACAAAAAAGCUCUGGAUAAGACUCCCUCAUCC
rnacentral:lncRNA from 1 species